UACGUAGGGGGCAAGCGUUGUCCGGAAUCAUUGGGCGUAAAGAGCGUGUAGGCGGCCCGGUAAGUCCGCUGUGAAAGUCCAGGGCUCAACCCUGGGAUGCCGGUGGAUACUGUCGGGCUCGAGUCCGGAAGAGGAGUGUGGAAUUCCUGGUGUAGCGGUGAAAUGCGCAGAUAUCGGGAGGAACACCCGUGGCGAAGGCGGGUCCCUGGGACGGUACUGACGCUGAGACGCGAAAGCGUGGGGAGCGAACAGG
rnacentral:rRNA from 1 species